UACGUAGGGGCCUAGCGUUGUCCGGAUUUAUUGGGCGUAAAGAGCUCGUAGGCGGUUUGGUAAGUCGGGUGUGAAAUCUCCACGCUCAACGUGGAGGGGCCACCCGAUACUGCCAUGACUGGAGUCCGGUAGGGGAGUGUGGAACUCCGGGAGUAGCGGUGAAAUGCGUAGAGACCCGGAGGAACACCAGUGGCGAAAGCGGCUUCCUGGUCCGACACCGACGUUCAGGCACGAAAGCGUGGGGAGCAAACAGG
rnacentral:rRNA from 1 species